AGUGGAGACCGCGCGUGUUGGGACAGACAUCAGCCGGCGGAGGGGGCCAAGCCCACGACUAACGAGUGAUGUCACCCACCAGCGCAGGGAGAAAAGUGCUGAGCGCCGGUGAAAGAACUCUCUUCUGGUGUCCACGCAUGCAGACCCUGUGCUGUGGGGAAGGCCUGCUGGAGUGCCCCUAACUUCCAAGGAAGACCAGUGCCCCACAGGACAUCGGCAUCUCCACGGCCAAGGCGGCACCUGAAUCGGGUGCGGGCGAGGCCUUGGGCACCAGGAGAGACCAGCGUCCCUGCCAGCAGAGCCUUUCUCCUCCCUGUCACCUCCUGUCACAUGUGAACUUUUACUGAGCGCCUGCCUUUCGGUGGUCCCAAGAAAUCCAGCUGCCUGCCUGCCUGUGGAGAACAGCCGGCGAGUCCUUUCUGACGAAGGUCACGGUCUCUGGAAAGUUCGGGGGGUGUUCCCGCUGCAGACCCAUGGGCAAGGACGCAGCACAUCCAGCUCCCACUCAGUGAGGAAAGGAGCUGAAGGCACACGCGCUGACAAACUGGGAGAGAGACUCGCGCUGAGGACUGCCGCAGCCUGCCCAGCUCGCGCAGGGGCCUGUCCUUGGACACCUCCGGCUG